AUUGAACGCUGGCGGCAUGCUUUACACAUGCAAGUCGAACGGUAACAGGCCGCAAGGUGCUGACGAGUGGCGAACGGGUGAGUAAUGCAUCGGAACGUGCCCAGUCGCGGGGGAUAACGCAGCGAAAGCUGCGCUAAUACCGCAUACGAUCUAUGGAUGAAAGCGGGGGACCGUAAGGCCUCGCGCGAUUGGAGCGGCCGAUGUCAGAUUAGGUAGUUGGUGGGGUAAAGGCUCACCAAGCCAACGAUCUGUAGCUGGUCUGAGAGGACGACCAGCCACACUGGGACUGAGACACGGCCCAGACUCCUACGGGAGGCAGCAGUGGGGAAUUUUGGACAAUGGGCGCAAGCCUGAUCCAGCAAUGCCGCGUGCAGGAAGAAGGCCUUCGGGUUGUAAACUGCUUUUGUACGGAACGAAGCGGUCCUGGUUAAUACCCGGAGCUAAUGACGGUACCGUAAGAAUAAGCACCGGCUAACUACGUGCCAGCCGCCGCGGUAAGAC
rnacentral:rRNA from 1 species